rnacentral:rRNA from 1 species
GACGAACCGUCCAAACGUUAUUCGGGAUCACUGGGCUUACAGAGUUCGUAGGCGGUCCGGUAAGUUAGGUGUGAAAUCCCUCGGCUCAACCGAGGAACUGCGCUUGAUACUGCCGGACUCGAGGGAGAUAGAGGAAAGCGGAAACUGAUGGUGGAGCGGUGAAAUGCGUUGAUAUCAUCAGGAACACCGGUGGCGAAGGCGGCUUUCUGGGUCUCUUCUUGACGCUGAGGAACGAAAGCUAGGGGUAGCGAACGGGG